rnacentral:rRNA from 1 species
CUUCGGGAAACCGGAGCUAAUACCGGAUAAUAUUUCGAACCGCAUGGUUCGAUAGUGAAAGAUGGUUUUGCUAUCACUUAUAGAUGGACCCGCGCCGUAUUAGCUAGUUGGUAAGGUAACGGCUUACCAAGGCGACGAUACGUAGCCGACCUGAGAGGGUGAUCGGCCACACUGGAACUGAGACACGGUCCAGACUCCUACGGGAGGCAGCAGUAGGGAAUCUUCCGCAAUGGGCGAAAGCCUGACGGAGCAACGCCGCGUGAGUGAUGAAGGUCUUCGGAUCGUAAAACUCUGUUAUUAGGGAAGAACAUACGUGUAAGUAACUAUGCACGUCUUGACGGUACCUAAUCAGAAAGCCACGGCUAACUACGUGCCAGCAGCCGCGGUAAUACGUAGGUGGCAAGCGUUAUCCGGAAUUAUUGGGCGUAAAGCGCGCGUAGGCGGUUUUUUAAGUCUGAUGUGAAAGCCCACGGCUCAACCGUGGAGGGUCAUUGGAAACUGUAAAACUUGAGUGCAGAAGAGGAAAGUGGAAUUCCAUGUGUAGCGGUGAAAUGCGCAGAGAUAUGGAGGAACACCAGUGGCGAAGGCGACUUUCUGGUCUGUAACUGACGCUGAUGUGCGNAAAGCGUGGGGAUCAAACAGGAUUAGAUACCCUGGNUAGUCCACGCCGUAAACGAUGAGUGCUAAGUGUUNAGGGGGNUUUNCCGCCCCUUNAGUGCUGCAGCUAANCGCAUUAAGNCACUC